rnacentral:lncRNA from 1 species
CCCCCGCCGACCCAAGGAAGGACAGCAGAUCUGGUGCAAAGGUUUAUUGCUGAGUCUGCAGCUAGCUAAGGGAGGGAGAGGUUGUGCCCUAGUCUUGCUGUCCAGAAGCAUCUUGCCUCUUCCAGCAGCACUGGCUCUGGUCCACAGGCUUAAGCAAAGGUUGUAGAAGUGGCUGGGGGUUGGGGGACAUUGUCUCUAAUGGUUUAGGCCUGGUUUUCAGUUCUCCCUCCUAAGGAAUGGGCCCUGAAUCAGGAGGGACAACAUGGUCACAUGGAAUUGCCUGUAACCUCACAUGGGAUAUUCUUUGCCCAUGGUUGAUCAAUAGGGGUUGGACUCUGCUCUGAGCCACCCCUCAGCAUGGCUUCAUUAUUGGUCAUAGCUAUGUCAAUAAUACCCUCCUUCAAUACAGCAUACCUUGACCAGCCAGCCCUGAGUAUUGUGUGUGGGUGGAUGAGGUGUGGUGUGGAAGUGUCCAAGGACAGAGGGGCAAGACCCAGAGGGAGAAGGGACUGGAGAAACCCUGAGUCUGAUGUUCGGGAAUGGGUUUGGCUUGUGUCUUUCUUUCCCUGGCACCCACGUCAAAGUCACUCACUUCUCUAUACGAGGCUUCAAAAACCAGAGCUUGGACUUUGGAGUCCUCAGGCUACUGGGAGGGACAGUCACUAACCACUGGGUGGACACGUGUUGGACUUGUCAUAUGCAGGUAGCAGGCUGGACCGGCCUACUGCUUGAGGGAGGGAUACCUCAAGUCCUUCGUGGAAACUGGUGAGGGAGGGCUGUUUGUGGAAUGGGGAUCUGCUGGUGAGCUGCUGCUGCUGCUGGGGGUAGCAGAAGAGGCUGGAGACAGACGGGUCACUAGGGCACUGCUGAGUCACUGUGAGUUCCAGCUGUCCCAAGUCCUGAGGUGUCCUAGCUCAGGCUGGCUGCUGUAGGUCCAAGAGGCCAGUGCAGCCAGGCGGUGAAAAGCAGGGUCGAGUUGGGUACUUGGGGGAGGGUCUGCACUGCAAGCCUCAUGCCUUUGGGUGUGUGGCUACAAGAGCAGCAGCUUGUGGAAAGGACGGUAUUUGAGGGGACUACAGGGCUACAGGGCUGCAGGGCUACAGAAUCUCAGGGCAAGAGACACACCUGAAUUCAGGUACCUGUGAAGAGAAGAAGAAAUGGAAUCUCAGGCUCCUUGAACAGCAAAAUAAAUGGGAUGGGGCGGGGAUGGGGGCAGCCCUGGAAUCAGUGCAUCUGGAGGUUGGGAAGGGAUGAAAAGAUGUUGAGCUAAUGAAUAGGGGGAGGGGCUUCUGGUAAUGGGUGGAACCUGAGAGCAGUGGGGCGGGGCUUAGGAGUGCGGCAGUCAGUCUGAAGCAGUGAACCUAAUGAGGAACUAGGGGCAGGAUUAGCGCCCUGAGAUUAAGGCGAAGGAUGGCGGAAAGUCUGGCUAGCUAGGACUCCACCUCAGAAGAGCCCGCAGUCUUUGAGGUUCUCCUUGAUGAUAAUGUCGGUGACAGCGUCAAAGACAAACUUGACGUUCUGUGUGUCGGUAGCGCACGUCAUGUGGGAAUAGAUCUCCUUCACAUCACGUCGCAUGUUAAGCUCCAGGAACUGCACUUUGAUGUAGUUGCCGGCAUCCUCAAAACGUCCUUCUUGUUGAGGAAGAGCACGAUAGACGUUGUGGCGAAGUAGCGAUGAUUGCAGAUGCUGUUGAACAGGUGCAGGCUCUCGUGCAUUCGGUUCUGGGGAGGGGAGCGGCUGUUGGGCAUCAGGCUACGCAAGCAGCUGCCCCUGGGUCUCUGCCCUCCCGACACCAACGGCUCCCAGACAGCUUCUGUUCCCACCAUGUCGUAAGCGCUCAGCGCAGCGAUGAAAAUGAUGCACGUCACACCCUCAAAGCAGUGGAUCCACUUUUUGCGCUCGGAACGCUGCCCGCCCACAUCGAACAUUCUGUCGGGUAGAGCCGGGUCCGGAUUUAGAUCGGUGUGUCUGGUCGGUCACCUGGAUAUGCCCACUGCCCCCCAACCCCACCCCCGUCCUCCUAAGCUAGCUGGAGAGCCCUCAUCUCGCUUGGCAUCUGAAAUGACCAGCCUUUCUCCUGGCAAGGACCUUCACUCAAGACACUGACGUCCCAGUGAGUCCAGCUGUGCUCCUAGCGCAGGGGCCUUACCUGAAGUUGAGGUCCUUGAAGGAGAAUUGAGUCUCGAUAAUACCAGUGGUUUUGACACGAGAACGCAACACGUCCUGCUCAGUGGGCACAUAUCCUGGAGUCACCAGACGCUCUAGGUCUGAGAGAUAGCUGAAGAAGACCACCCGGUCCGAGUGGGUGAGUGGCGUGGGCGAUCACACCCGCGGGGUCCUGCCUACUCACCUCCCCUGCCCUCCUGCAUCUACAUGUGUACUCACUAGCCGGCGGAGUCAUUGAGCUGGUAUUCUGAGGCUCGGUCAAAGCAAGCUUGGAUACCCGAGUCCUUCCACAAGCGCUGAAUGAUGUCUGACAUCUCCUUGGGCAUUGUGCCUUCCUCAAUAGUAUCUGCCAUGUGCAUGAGCUUCCGGGCAUCAUCCUAGUGGUGGGGCAGGGUAGUGGUUGUGAAUCUGAGCCUAGCUAGGUGCCAUGAGCCUAACCAUCAUCAGCCUGCCUCCUGCCUCACCUGCCGGGCUGAAUCUCCAUACUGAAUGUUGAGCGUGGUCAUAGCCCGAACGAUGGCCAGGAUGGACUGCAGAGUGUUGCCGUAGAUGAUGGCAAUGAACUCGAGGCAUUCCUCCAGCGAAUACCCGUCCUGGUGGAUAAUCCUGUAGCCAAGACCAGCAAAGUUAGAGCCACCUGGGCAAGUAGGGAAGGACAGGUUCUGAUGUGCAUGCACCCACCCACCACUAGGGGGCCUUAGGAUGGGCAGGGAACACUCACUUCAUCUGUUUGACAAUAGUGCUCUUCCCGGAUUCACCGGCACCUGAAAGGAAAGCUGUGCUUCAGAGCCGCACUUCUUUUGGAUCAGAGCCCUGGGGUGCCAACUAGACCUCUAGAUAGUCAAAGUAUCAUCAUUGCCCUCAUCUCUAUUCAAAGUAAAGUCUUUAAGACCCCUGAAGAAAGCCGGGCGUGGUGGCGCACGCCUUUAAUCCCAGCACUUGGAAGGCAGAGGCAGGCGAAUUUCUGAGUUCGAGGUUUACAGAGUGAGUUCCAGGACAGCCAGGGCUAUAACAGAGAAACCCUGUCUCGAAGAAAAAAAAAAAAAACCUGAAGAAAAAUGGCUGUAAGUGACAAAAGGGACCUACAUCAGUUAAGGGACCUCAACUGUGUCCAGUGGGAAGGAGGAGGCGUCCCAAAACUCUGUUGUGUAAAGAAAGUCGGGCUGGUGAGAUGGCUCAGUGGGUAAGAGCACCCGACUGCUCUUCCGAAGGUCCAGAGUUCAAAAUCCCAGCAACCACAUGGUGGCUCACAACCAUCUGUAACAAGAUCUGACUCCCUCUUCUGGUGUGUCUG